GUUUCAGUUGUACAAGGAACUGUUUAGACAGAGGAAGCGAGUGCAAGAGAAGAAGGGAUUGAUUUUUUUUCCCCAAUCUCAGAUGGAAGAGACUGUCUCCCUUCCAUCCGGGAAAACAUUACUGUGCUCCCAAGUGACACUGAAGACAUUUUUAAAGGUGAGAUUGUGGAUAGAGGCGGCCAUUGUUGCUUUCAGCUUCUUAUUUCUGAGUGCGAUUGAAGUGAAGUCGGUGCGUUUGUUAGUACAUGCACAUAGGCUUGGGGAAUAGGAUUUCCAGGCCAGGAAGCUGAGAUUGGAACCCGUUAGCUGUAUGGGAGCCCAGGGUACAAGCUCUAGCUUGCUAGCACACAGCACAGAUGUUACACUUUUCAAUCUGUGGAAUAUGUAUUUGCGUUUUUUUUUCCUUAUAGCGGAUCCUCCUCUAGGAAUUUGGAGCUCGCCAAUCCCCAAGUGUUAGAACAGAGCCGCUGUGUGGUUUAGGUAGUUUUAUGUUGUUGGGCAUUCACCUUUCUCUCUACAACAAGAAACUGCCUUAAUUACAUCAGUGGGAAUCAUCACCCAGGUAGAAGAGGAAAUUCUACAAUAUCUGACUAUCCUCUGGCCUGCGCCUUUUGUGUCAAUGAUCGUCCUUAUUAAGUUCCUCUGUGUGUGCAAUUGUUGUGCCCGAUUGUGUGCGCCUCCUCCUGUAAAGCAGAUGUCCGUGCGUGUAUAUAUAUAUGUUUAUAUGUAUACAUUGCUAUUUCUGUGUUUCUAAUUAUAGUUACAAUUCUUUGCAUAAGUAGUUUUGCCUGAAUUAUAGUAUAUGUGUGUGGAUUUGUGCACACUUCAUGGCCCUUGUAUAGAUUUCUUUUUUAAUUUCCCGUGUGUAUACCUCUUGGCUUUCUGUGUUUAUACGCGUAAAUGUGCCCCAUGUGUACCAAUGCCUGCCCACAGAGUUAUAACAGUGCAUUUGUGAUUUUUUUUUUUUUUUGCUGUUGUGUGUUUACGAUUGUAAGAAUGUGUUCCAUGUGGGCGUUAAUGUAUUGCCUUUUGUUUUUGUAGAAAAAAUUCUAGCUGCAGCAUUGUGUAAAUUGCAGUAUGUGUAUUUUUUGUGUUUUAAAAAUAUAUGUGCCCGUGUGUGUAUAGAUGUGAAUCUGUGUAUAUUAUAUAAGCACUUUAGAAUGGUAUAUUUGUGUCAUUUAUUGUGUGUAUUUGCGUGUGUUGGAUGGGUGUUUCUCUGCUUGUAAAGAGCAUGAUAACUGGGUAUGUGUAUGUAUAUUGCUGCAAGUAUUUCUGCAAUUUGGAUUUUUGUUGGUGUGUGUUAAGAAUAUACUACUUUGCUUUUAUUUUGUGUUGAUAUGCGAGUUAUUGCUUUUGUGUCCGUGAACGGAUUUCUAGCUCUGUGUUUGGAUGUACAUUGUUUUACAUAUGUAUGUUAUGUGUUUAUUUGGCAGUGUUUGUUAUAAAUAUUCUGCAUGUGUGCCUGCUUCUGUGCCUGUGAAUUUAACACUAGCUGUUUGUUUGUAGGCAUGUAGUUUUGUGUUUGUGUAUUUGUAGAUGGAUGUUUGUGUGUGUAUGUGUGUGUGCGUGUGUGUGGAUAUGUAUGUGUGUGUGUGCCUUCAUCUCUGUGCCGGAACUCAUUUCUACCCAUGUCUCUUGCUUUAUGUAUUUUUUUUAAUGGAGUGUAUAUAAAUUUGUUAUGAGCAUGUGACACAGGGUGUGAGUCGGUUUGGCUUAAUGUGAUGUUUUAGUGUGUGUGUUGCUCAAGGCUGAUGUUUAGAUGGCAGCUUUUGUAAAGGGGUGCAUUUAUUUCUGUAACCAAAUUGUAUUUAUACUAAACAGAGAUAACAAAAUCAAUACUAAUUUUUGUAUGAAUAAGAAAUGUUGCUGCUUCCAGUAAGUAUUCAAGGUCAGAUGGGCAAUGGCCCUUUAAUGUUGUUUUGGAUCUUUAAAGUGCUCUUGCUCAGGGAUUGCUCACAGCAACAAAAACUACAAAUAAUGAUUAGAUUUAAUUGUAUACCAUUAUUGUUAUUAUUGUUGUGUGUAUGCACUAAUAGUGGGAAUUCAUAAAGAUAAAGGUGUUUCCCCCAAGACGUGGACGAGACUGGAUGUAAUGGCUUCCUGCUUGCAAGGCCUCGGUUACGAUCAUUAUUACAAUGUGCCCAUAGUCUGACAUUCCACAAAUACACCACCAACAGCGACGGGGGCUGCAGGGACAGGCAGGCUGCUGAACAAAUAAGCCACAUAUAAACUGCAGCAGCAGCAGUUCAGCCUCUCCAGCUUAGCAAAGCGACCCACAAAGCUUUACUUGACAAAGCCUGCGGCACUGGAAUGGCCCAACUGAUAUUAUAUUUGUGGGUUCACUAUCAUGUCACAUUCAGCUAUCAAAUUCCAGGUCACCGAUUGUACGAUUUUAUCGUGUUGUUUUUGUCUGGAAGAAAGAAAAAAAUCUUCACACGCACUCCAAUAAAAGAUUAUUUACCGUAUUAAAUGAACCUUUCUGUGUCCAAAAUGUAUCUGGUUUCAUGUAAAGCUAAUGAAUAUUUGAUGAAACGAUGCUAUAUAUAUGGCAAUUAGUACACAAAGCACUUUAAGUACACAGUACAUUUCCCAGUGACAUAGACAAAAAUACAGACAAAUCCUAUCCCUGUCUAUCUAUGUGAUUAUAAAUCAUCUAUGUAUCUUACUAGAUAUCUCUCCAUCUGUAUGUCCACGUACAUUUGUGCGCCCUCCUCUAUUUUACAAUGAGACAUAUCCCUUCUUUUCUUACUAAAUGCUCAAAAUCCUAUGAACAUUUGCUGUUUCACAGUGAAUUAUUUUACCUUUAGGGCUUUGUAUGUCUUGGACAGAAUAAUUAUUGGUUCAGACAGCAAGAGGGGAGGUCUGAGUCCAGGAAAAUGUUUUAUGAAAUUCUUCUGAAACCUGGGUUUCGUUGAGCAAAAUAAAUUCGUUCUACAAAGUGAGAAUUGUAUACAUUUUAUAGGGGUGUGUGAAUCGGCGUGUGUGUGUGCAUUCGUGAAUUUACAAAUAUAGAAGGAUAUUACUGUGUGCUUACCUCUCAUAUUAUUGUUGUACGUGCAGUUGGUGUAUGUGUGUGCGUAUUUGUGUGUGUCAGUGUAUAUAUAUGUGUAGAAUGUAGAACUGAUCCCCAUAGGAGAGCAGAGUAUUUACAAAUAAAGAAGGAUAUUACUGUGUGUUUAUCUCUCAUAUUAUUGUUGUACGUGCAGUUGGUGUAUGUGUGUGCGUAUUUGUGUGUAUCAGUGUAUAUUUGUGUAGAAUGUACAACUGAUCCCCAUAGGAAGCAGAGUAUAGCUGAAUUCCAACUAACAAUGGACUUGAUCUGAGCCGCGCUGAGCAAUGUAACCAUCCGCCCUUGUGUUUCACUUCCCUAGGAAUCAGUGAGGCUUUUAUAAACAGCUACAAAGGCCAAAUAAACCCUGCGUCUGCCUGCGCGCGUUUUACCAAAUAAUAAAUAAUGUUUCCAAAGCAUAGAUAAAAAAUACAUUUAUUAGGAGGCUCAUUAGCAAUGGGGUCUCAGCUCCUUACCAUGCGCAAUGGCUUCCCCAAGCCGGACUGCAAUAGGUUUGCAUUUUCCCUCUGGAAACCAAACUUUUAUGGCCCCAGUUUUAUGGCAACGGUUAAUUUUACGGUAUCGGCUUACUCCUCUAACGGAACUGCUCCCUCUACAAUAUUAUUCCAAUACAAUACAGACCAUGAUAUCCCACACCCCCACAACUGUCCCAUAGAGCUGCAAGUAUGAGUUGAAUAACUUCAUACAAAAACCUGCAGUUGCACAGCUGCGAUCUUAUUGGGAAAACACUUGGAAUUGCAUUCGAUUUAAGGUGAUCGUUUGCUUUCUUCUGCUUUGUACGAAUUGGUUGCAGAAGAAUUAUACAAGAGCUCUUUCUGUGUUCCCAUGUCUUCCUAUAGAGAAUGGGAUAUAAAUAGGCAGAUAAGCACAUGCACUAUUUAGUAAAUGCCAUCUAUCUUUAUGUAUAUUUAUAUAUACACAUUCAUUUAGUGAAUGUGGGUAUGUGCCAAGCAAAACCGCUUGUAACACAUGAUUGAGCAAAGGUACAUGGUGUGUAUAUAUAUACACUCACACACACACACACACACACACACACACAGCCAGACACACUGUGCAGCUCUGCAUUGCCCUGUAUACUCCCUGCCAUGACAGGCUGGCAUCUGGUGAGGGCAGUAACUUUAGAAGAACAAUAUAACCCAGUGCAUCCAAUCUAUGCAAAGCGAAUGUGUUACUAGAUCUGUCCCUAACUCUCAUGGAAAUGUAACAUUUAAUGACUUAUAUGUCAGGCUCAGCCCUGUGUGCCAUGUGCAACUUUCCCAUCAAAUACAGGAUGGAUUUCAGAAUGAAUUUCUAGCAAGGAGGUGCGUAGAAAAUGCCUCCAUCCUACUGUGUGAUUAAUAAUGAUGUAAAAUAGUCCCAGGAAUGGUAGCACUGCUAGAUCUGAUCUUAUAAUCUCAGCUGGCCACAAUUAAAGGAGACUAUACAGUAGAACCUAAAUAUCCCUUUGCAUAAAAACAUAUGGCUCUGCUAUAAAAAAUGAUGACUGCAAAACAGUGACCCAUUAAUAGCCUGCGGACUGAUUUAUACCUUAUUGUUCUGCUGCACAGUCACAUGGCCCCGGCAGCCAAUAGGAAUGAAGGCUGCCUUCAACUUAUUAGGUGACUGUACUUCUUUGUAGGACCAAGUUGUUACAUGAAAUCUGCAGUUUCAUAAUUUCAGGAGGUCCCGCUCGGCACAAUGUCGACUUCUGGGACCCUCAGCAAUUAUUAUGUGGACUCUUUUCUAAUUCACGAAGGGGACGAUGUGGUGCAGCCUAGAUUUGCCCCCGGAUCCCUGACUCAGCCACCAAGGCAGGCAGCAUCGGCCGAGCACCCCGACUUCACCCCUUGCAGCUUCCAAUCCAAAACGUCAGUGUUCAGCAGCCCCUGGAACCCAUUGCACCCCCAAACUGCUAACAAUGUGUCCAGUGUGUAUCACCCCUAUAUGCACCACCAGCCCCCCAUUUCAGCCUCUGACGGCAGGUACAUGCGCUCUUGGCUGGACCCCAUGGCUGCCGGAUCCCUGCCCUUCCCCGGCUUCCCCUCCAGCAGGAGUUAUGGCAUCAAACCUGAACCGGUGGCUCCUAGAAGGGGCGACUGCUCCACAUUCGAUUCUCGCCCCCUGCCAGUGUCGGACUAUCCGUGCGGCUCCCCCACUGACAGGGACAAGCAGAUCGGCGACCCCCCGUUUGCUGUCACCAAUGGAGAGAAUCCCAGCAACGGAGAGAAGCCGCCAAUUGAUCCAAACAACCCGGCUGCUAACUGGCUGCAUGCGAGAUCCACCAGGAAAAAACGCUGCCCCUACACCAAGCACCAAACCCUGGAGCUGGAGAAGGAGUUUUUAUUCAAUAUGUAUCUGACCAGGGACAGGAGGUACGAGGUGGCCAGACUGUUGAACCUCACAGAACGACAAGUGAAAAUCUGGUUCCAAAACAGGCGGAUGAAAAUGAAAAAAAUCAACAAGGAUCGCUCAAAAGACGAAUGAAUGAGAGGGUGACUACCUGACAAGCUCUGUGCUACUGUAUCCAGGCCUGGUGCGUCCCUCUCGCAGUCGCUCAUAUUGUCACAAUAGCAGUUGCGUCACAAUCUUGGUUUUGCCAGUGCUAUCGCAGAGGCCAUCGUAUAUCUCUUUGGAAACAUUCAGACUCCAAUUUCCUCCAUCACAUCCUUGCAAGUCAUGGAAUUCAAUUUUGCAAAGCCAGACAAAGUGGUUAAAAAGAAAGAGAGAGAGAAAGAAAGAAAAAAAGGGGGAAAAAACAAGUCAGGUCACUUUAUGCUCAAGUCGAGACAGAGGAUGUUGUUUGAAAAUUCUGUGCCACAUUGGGCAAUAAAAGAAAAUUACUGCUCUAACCAUUUAUGGAGUGCAAACCGCUGCAGGCUUUUCAGCAAACCGUACAGGACUUGCAGCCUUCCUACUUGCUUGUCUAAUUACAAAGGAAAUGUAUUUUUUGUGUGCUAAAUACGAACAAAAAACGGAUAUUUUUUGAUUAAUAAAAUGAGUUUCCAGUGAGUAGAGAAUGAUUGUAACAGCUUUCAAAAUAGUAGUUGCUGUUUGGAAAAAAAGAAAGAAAAACAAAUGGAAGAGGGGGAAGAGGACAGGAUUGUAGCUUGUUCCGGGGUCUGGGGGUUUGCAACGCCCUCUGUUGUUCCAGACAGAAAGAGACUUCAAAGAAUGGGCACUAAAAGUGUGUAAUAAAUGGCUGGUCUGCAAACUGUCUGGAAUUCGCUCCUUAAUGAUUUUAUGGCUGUCCUGCAGCAAUUAAGAUUUUCUUUACAGAAGCCUUCUUGGUUGUUUGGUCUGGCGGAUUUAGAUAAUAUACUGAGCGGAUAUCGCCAACUUUUAUUGCUCCGGGACUCUGCAAUCCCAAUCUUUCUCGUGUAUAUUUGUGAAUUCAAUUUUAAUAUGCCUUGUGGAUGUUUCCAUAUAUGUCCAAAGUUACUUAAUAUACUUAAUUUUUACUGACUGUCAGAGGCGUAGUCACUGGAAGCAUAUUUUUUUUAUGUCUUGUAACAUUUAUUUUUGAACACCAGAUGGCAGUAUUACCUCAUUAAAGGCAGAUAUAUCCGAGGGAUAUAACAGCUAACUGUUUAGUAAAUAAAAGAAAGGCCUGCUAAAUAUGUUGAUACAUUUUCGGCUUUUAAUAAAAGUAGCUCACAGAAAACCCAAUCAACUAAUGUAUAUCUUCAUGUACACAUGAUUAUAUACACAUAUAUAUAUAUAUAUAUAUUUACAUCUACACACACACAUAUAUAUAUAUAUAUAUAUAUAAACACACAGACACACUCACUAAAAUGUGUAUUUUUUUUUAAUUUUUAAAUACAUAAAAUGAAUGAACAUGGAAAUACAACUUCACCUACAUGAAUCUGGUGCGUUUAAUGAGCCGAUUAGUUUAGACUUUCUUUAGUUCUUAGUUCCAGCUAGAGUUACCCUUGUAUAUAAGUGGAUAUAAUGCAGAGACCUAUUUGUAUUUCUUUCUAUUUCUUUUAUAACUCAUUCUGCUCAGCAAAAGCCUAAAUGAAACAACACCAGUCAACAGUCACUUGGUGAUUAACAUAUUUAUGUACAAAUGUGUAGAGAGAUGACGCAUUUAAUGUAUACUAUUUAAUAACUGUGCGCAAUAAUCUGCUUUCUUAAUGAGAUUUUCCUAGAAGUAAAUAUAUUUGGCCACACCCACUCACCUCCGCUUGGCUUCACAACCACUCCCAUGUUUAGGUAUUUUUUUUUUUUAUUCUUAUAUUUUUUAACACGUUAUAUAAUAUAUUGACACUUGAAAUUUUAUGUGUGCCCCAGAUUAGAUAAAAAACGAUAAAGAAUAUAUUAAUAAGUGAUAUUAAUAAAUGUUAUAAAAGCUAUUUUUUCAUUUUUUUCAAUAAUGUAUAGUAUUAUUUCAUGGGGAAAAAAAUGCUUACCAAUCGGUUGUACAAGCACUGGAAGACAGGUAAAUGUGCAAAUAAACGCAAAUAUACUUUUUCUUUUUAUAAUUCUACUUUUGUCCUUGUAAUAAAUUUUUAUUUUUACACUUGGCAAUAAAUAAUGUUUAUAGACACGCUAGAUAUAGUACAUAUAACGGCUGAUGUAUCCAAACACACAACACAUUUUCUUAUAUAUAUACUAACAUACAAUUGUGUGUGGUCUGUGCGUGUAUCUGUGUGUUCAGUGUAGUGUAGGUUAGUGGGGGAUUUGCUAUUGUGUUUUAGCUUAAUUGUAUAAAUAUUUAUUUCUGUAUACAAACACCUCAUUUUUGCAGUUAGUCUGCUCAGUGCCAGAAUUUUUUAUCUGGGAAUAUUUACUCCUUUUCCAGUGAAAUACACCAGACAUUGCUAAAGGUGUAUUGUUGUGUCUUCUCAUUUACACAAAUAUUUUCUUUAAAAGACAGCAUGUAGAAAGAAAAUGGGGGAUGUUUUGGGCAGAAUUUUAUGACUAUACAACCGUGCAAACAUGCUGAAAGUGCCGAGUUUGUCUCAUGGGAAGCCCUUUGUACAACAGAUGAACUAUCUGUAUAAUUAAAGGUAGAAUUUCCGGAGCUAUUUCCAUUGAAGUUUAUGGUGUGCAAUAUACUGGGGUUGUAAAACUCAGUUUAGCACAGUCUUUGCUCUAGAAGGAGACAGUUCAUUUUACCAGGAGUUUGGACAGGGAUGUGGGUAACAGAGAAAAUAAAAAUAAUCUGUGAUUUUGAUGCCGAAAUGUUUUGUUGGGCCGCUCCCACGACUCCGUUUUGCUUAUUAAAAAAAA